GAUGAAGAACGUAGCGAAAGUGCGAAACGUAAUGUGAAUUGCAGAAUUCAGUGAAUCAUCGAAUCUUUGAACGCACAUUGCGCCCGCUAGUAUUCUGGCGGGCAUGCCUGUUCGAGCGUCAUUUCAACCAUCAAGCCUUAGGCUUGUGUUGGGGCCCUGCGGCCGUCCGCAGCCCUCUAAAAGCAGUGGCGGGCUCGCUAUCACACCGAGUGCAGUAGUUUACUCUUCUCUCAGGGCGUGUGGCGGGUUCCGGCCGUGAAACCCCUCCAAUUUAUCAAGGUUGACCUCGGAUCAGGUAGGAAUACCCGCUGAACUUAAGCAUAUCAAUAAGCGGAGGA
rnacentral:misc_RNA from 1 species